CACCAUCCAACUUUAGGCACAUAUUUUCCCUUGAACAGUUAAAUGUCAUGUCUCCUACUUUUAUCAUCCUACAUGACGCCUAUGUGGCAUAUCUACAUAGAUAUAUAUUUAUUCCACCAAUCUUCCUCGUAAUUUAAUUAUUAAAUUCAUCCAUUACAUAAAACCCAUUUCCUAAUAUUACUUCAUUUUCACUUUUACCAGAGAAAAAUCCUUUAACAGAUAAACAAAGC
rnacentral:lncRNA from 1 species